CCUACGGGAGGCAGCAGUGGGGAAUUUUGGACAAUGGGCGCAAGCCUGAUCCAGCAAUGCCGCGUGCAGGAUGAAGGCCUUCGGGUUGUAAACUGCUUUUGUACGGAACGAAACGGCGAGCUCUAAUAAAGUUCGCUAAUGACGGUACCGUAAGAAUAAGCACCGGCUAACUACGUGCCAGCAGCCGCGGUAAUACGUAGGGUGCAAGCGUUAAUCGGAAUUACUGGGCGUAAAGCGUGCGCAGGCGGUGAUGUAAGACAGAUGUGAAAUCCCCGGGCUCAACCUGGGACCUGCAUUUGUGACUGCAUCGCUAGAGUACGGUAGAGGGGGAUGGAAUUCCGCGUGUAGCAGUGAAAUGCGUAGAUAUGCGGAGGAACACCGAUGGCGAAGGCAAUCCCCUGGACCUGUACUGACGCUCAUGCACGAAAGCGUGGGGAGCAAACAGGAUUAGAUACCCUGGUAGUCCACGCCCUAAACGAUGUCAACUGGUUGUUGGGUCUUCACUGACUCAGUAACGAAGCUAACGCGUGAAGUUGACCGCCUGGGGAGUACGGCCGCGAAGGUUGAAACGUCAAAUGAAUUGAGG
rnacentral:rRNA from 1 species